rnacentral:rRNA from 1 species
GCAGCGACGCCGCGUGGGGGAUGACGGUCCUUCCGGAUUUGUAAACCCCUUUCCAGUAGGGACGAAGCGCAAGUUGACGGUACCUGCAGAAGAAGCACCGGCUAACUACGUGCCAGCAGCCGCGGUAAUACGUAGGGUGCGAGCGUUGUCCGGAAUUACUGGGCGUAAAGAGCUCGUAGGCGGUUUGUCACGUCGUCUGUGAAAUCCCUCGGCUUAACCGGGGGCGUGCAGGCGAUACGGGCAGACUUGAGUACUACAGGGGAGACUGGAAUUCCUGGUGUAGCGGUGAAAUGCGCAGAUAUCAGGAGGAACACCGGUGGCGAAGGCGGGUCUCUGGGUAGUAACUGACGCUGAGGAGCGAAAGCAUGGGUAGCGAACAGGAUUAGAUACCCUGGUAGUCCAUGCCGUAAACGGUGGGCGCUAGGUGUGGGGUCCUUCCACGGACUCCGUGCCGUAGCUAACGCAUUAAGCGCCCCGCCUGGGGAGUACGGCCGCAAGGCUAAAACUCA